GAACGAACGCUGGCGGCAGGCCUAACACAUGCAAGUCGAGCGCCCCGCAAGGGGAGCGGCGGACGGGUGAGUAACGCGUGGGAACGUGCCCCUUUCUACGGAAUAGCCUCGGGAAACUGGGAGUAAUACCGUAUAAGCCCUACGGGGGAAAGAUUUAUCGGGAAGGGAUCGGCCCGCGUUGGAUUAGGUAGUUGGUGGGGUAAUGGCCUACCAAGCCGACGAUCCAUAGCUGGUUUGAGAGGAUGAUCAGCCACACUGGGACUGAGACACGGCCCAGACUCCUACGGGAGGCAGCAGUGGGGAAUCUUAGACAAUGGGCGCAAGCCUGAUCUAGCCAUGCCGCGUGAGCGAUGAAGGCCUUAGGGUUGUAAAGCUCUUUCAGGGGGGAAGAUAAUGACUGUACCCCCAGAAGAAGCCCCGGCUAACUCCGUGCCAGCAGCCGCGGUAAUACGGAGGAUGCAAGCGUUAUCCGGAUUUAUUGGGUUUAAAGGGUGCGUAGGCGGUUGGAUAAGUCAGCGGUGAAAGUUUUCUGCUUAACAGGAAAAAUGCCAUUGAUACUGUCUGGCUAGAAUAUGGUUGCUGUGAGUGGAAUGUGUGGUGUAGCGGUGAAAUGCUUAGAUAUCACACAGAAUAUCGAUUGCGAAGGCAGCUCACAAAGCCAUUAUUGACGCUGAGGCACGAAAGUGUGGGGAUCAAACAGGAUUAGAUACCCUGGUAGUCCACACUGUAAACGAUGAUAACUCGCUGUCGGCGAUACACAGUCGGUGGCCAAGCGAAAGCGAUAAGUUAUCCACCUGGGGAGUACGACCGCAAGGUUGAAACUCAAAGGAAUUGACGGGGGCCCGCACAAGCGGAGGAACAUGUGGUUUAAUUCGAUGAUACGCGAGGAACCUUACCCGGGCUCGAACGGCUUUAGAAUAUAUCAGAGAUGGUAUAGCCAGCAAUGGCUGAAGUCGAGGUGCUGCAUGGUUGUCGUCAGCUCGUGCCGUGAGGUGUCGGCUUAAGUGCCAUAACGAGCGCAACCCUUGUCGUUAGUUACCAUCAGGUCAUGCUGGGGACUCUAACGAGACUGCCACCGUAAGGUGUGAGGAAGGGGGGGAUGACGUCAAAUCAGCACGGCCCUUACGUCCGGGGCGACACACGUGUUACAAUGGUAGGUACAGAGGGCAGCUACCCAGUGAUGGGAUGCGAAUCUCUAAAGCCUAUCUCAGUUCGGAUUGGAGUCUGCAACUCGACUCCAUGAAGUUGGAUUCGCUAGUAAUCGCGCAUCAGCCAUGGCGCGGUGAAUACGUUCCCGGGCCU
rnacentral:rRNA from 1 species